rnacentral:rRNA from 1 species
UGGGGGAUAUUGGACAAUGGGGGGAACCCUGAUCCAGCGACGCCGCGUGAGUGAAGAAGUAUUUCGGUAUGUAAAGCUCUGUCAGCAGGGAAGAAAUCAUGACGGUACCUGACCAAGAAGCCCCGGCUAACUACGUGCCAGCAGCCGCGGUAAUACGUAGGGGGCAAGCGUUAUCCGGAAUUACUGGGUGUAAAGGGAGCGUAGACGGUUAAGUAAGUCUGGAGUGAAAGGCUGGGGCCCAACCCCGGGACUGCUCUGGAAACUAUUUAACUUGAGUGCAGGAGAGGUAAGCGGAAUUCCUAGUGUAGCGGUGAAAUGCGUAGAUAUUAGGAGGAACACCAGUGGCGAAGGCGGCUUACUGGACUGUAACUGACGUUGAGGCUCGAAAGCGUGGGGAGCAAACAGG